UACGGAGGGUGCAAGCGUUGUCCGGAUUUAUUGGGUUUAAAGGGUGCGUAGGCGGCCUGUUAAGUCAGGGGUGAAAGACGGUAGCUCAACUAUCGCAGUGCCCUUGAUACUGAUGGGCUUGAAUUGACUAGAGGUAGGCGGAAUGUGACAAGUAGCGGUGAAAUGCAUAGAUAUGUCACAGAACACCGAUUGCGAAGGCAGCUUACUAUGGUCCUAUUGACGCUGAGGCACGAAAGCGUGGGGAUCAAACAGG
rnacentral:rRNA from 1 species